rfam:Drosophila ananassae strain TSC#14024-0371.13 Ctg01_18341, whole genome shotgun sequence.
UUUGGGUCCAGUCUAAUUCUGCAUCAUGGUUUAUUUAUGUAGUCUCGCUUUUGGACCAGAACAAAGCUCCAAAUCCUUUAUUAUCCUUGUGCUGGGGACACUUGCCAGACCCCAGCACACGAGAAACGUAAAAGAACACUU